GUCCCUGUCGUCUAGUGGAUAGGAUAACAGUUUCCGGAGCUGUGGGCGCGGGUUCGAUUCCUGCCAGGGACGCCA
rnacentral:tRNA from 1 species